GGCUAAUAGCAAAGUUAGCAUCCUUACCCUCCUCCUAAUCUGCGGUAUGGUUACCGAUCUGUGCACUUUUCGUAACUUAUAUUGGUUGAUUAUUGACACUUCUAUGAUGGUCAAGUAUUUUAUCAUUGUGAAACAAUAUUGCAAAAAUACUGUAAUAUAGAUCUUAUGAUAUUAGUUAAGCAGUCAUCUGCUGCCCAUUGGUAAAUAUUGUGUGUUUUGAUAAAGAGAAGCAUUGAAGAAGUUGCUUGUGCAUAUAAAGUAUUAAGGUUUUAGAUAAAUUUUUACAUGUAUGCAGUUGAAUUUAUUGAUCAUUUUCUUUCUGGGCAUUUUUUCCUGAAUUAUUAAGUUUUUCCACUGGUAAGUUAAUCUUUUCUUCAUAUGUUUGUGGAUUCUAAAGCAAUGUUGCAAUACUAUAAGUUAUGCCAUUAAGUUGUAGCAUGACAUAUACAUGAUUUUAUCUUAACUGCAUAUUGAAUUUUCUCGAUAUUUUCUUUGAUCAAGCUUUAUACGCAAUACUAGACAAGACUGAGCUAAACAAUAGGUUUGAUUUCAAUAUUAUGUUUUUCUUUCUAUGACAGCAUUGUUUUUCUUGGGAAGCAAAGUGCAAUAUGCUGAAGCCCAAAGGAAAAUUUGCCCACUAGUUUGCCUCAAAGUUGGCUACAUGACUUGCCCAAAAUCUGGUUCUAAGAAGCUUCAUCCAGGCUGCACAAACUGUUGCAAAGUAAAGAAGGGCUGCAAACUUUAUAGAUCUAAUGGAAGCCUAAUUUGUACUGGAAAGUAAUUGGACAUGCGAUAAAUCUUAAAUAAAUUGUCAUAUGUUUAUGCUAUAAACAGGCAAAAUAAUAAAUGAAUCUCUUAUAAUAAAUCCAAGAUUCAGGUUUAAUUGUAUUGAUGGACGUUGUUUCUAUGAAAUUAUCCUUUACAUAAUUACUUCUCUAAGUUUUUUGGGUGAGACUUAGUUGUUGUAUAAUCUUUUAUUCAUCUACUAGCCACCCACCACCCUCGACCUCCUGCAUAAUCAAAAAAUUGUUGUAAAAACAGAAAUUACACACAGCAUGAUGAGGGAGACUACAAAAAUUCAAACGAAAUAAAAGAUAUAUGUACCCAUGGAUCUCUUGAGGACAGAAUUUGCCUCUAGCACAUAUGAAUAGAUCAUGACUGGGUGGGGCUUAUUGUUACACCCACUUUAUUCAUAGUCAAAGUCAAAAUUAUUCAUUCAAAGUCAUCAGUUCAUUUCGUCAAAGUCAAAGUCAAAUAAAGACUUGAUUUGAAAAAGAAAUUCUUAUGGGGACUAUUAUAAGCUAGUGGUAUUUGUUGGAACUAAUUGGUAAUUAUAGAAACAAAUUGGUAAGUUUUAAAUGAAACAUACAGGUUAAAUUGCAAACUAUGGAAAAGUGGAGGGCCUCACUAAUGAAUACAUAAUUAUUUUCCCAUUUAACUUGAGGAGUAGAGAAGACGGAGGGAAAAAAGAAGAAUCAAGGAACGGGAAGAAAAGAAAGGAAAGAGAAGAAAGGAAGAAAAAAGGAAGGAAAGAAAAAGAGAGGAAGAAGAAAGAAUGGAUGACUAAACACUGAUUGAGUUAGGAUUCUUCAACUUCCUCAGUUUCUAGAUGUAAGCAAAAUAUUUACCUCGUUUGGCCCCAUUAAUUCUCGUUAAUUUACAUUUUUUUGGUGUUUUUCAACCAAAUAUCUAGGCCAAAAACACAGCCUCCAGCUUUGUUUGCUACUUACAUCAAGGAUAUAUUUUUUCUCAUUCUUCUCUUCAACCGAUGGGACCUUUUUUCGUCUACUCCAACAAACACUCAGGCUACUAUUAUGGACAAUGAAGGCCCGAAGUGGGGCUACUAUUUACAAACCAUGGUAAGCAGACUGCUUGGUUGUUUCUCCCUUGAGAUCUUGUUUAUAUGCCAAAUCUGAAAGAUUCAAUAUUUUUGGGGAUAAGUGCCGACUUGUUUAGCUAAAACUAAAUCAACAUCUAGUUACAUUUAUUUUAGUUCACAUUUCACUGUUUGUAGAACUACACGGCUCAUUUUUUGGACCCGGUGCCGGUUGCAUCUCCUAUUCAACAGUGUGAGAGGAAGACAAAGACUCGCAAGUCUGCAAAGUGGAACGUUGGGAGCAGAAGAUAUUCGCAAUUACGGCAGAACAUGUCACUACUGAAGGCUAUCAUAGGGAAACGUGUUUAACAAUAACUGGUUGAGAGCACAUCCAUGAUUUGUUCAACAAAAUCUUUAAGGAGGAUUAGACCAUCGCCAAGCUGAAGAACCACUAGGCUGUUAUGUAAAUAGAACACAAGUUUUUCGUCAAGUUGCUCCGAUGCUCUAGAAUUUAGUAUAGUCUUAGCAAUGAGGGCAAAAUUAACUCCCUUGACUGGUGGUUAGAGCAGAAACUGAAGGUAAAACAACGAAUCAAACAACCUGGCUUAAAGAUUGAACCCUAGUUUUUUAUGAAUGUGGGGAUCAAUUUCGUUUAUUGUACUAAUGAUAAGUGUGUUUUGUGCACUUUUUCAAGCCAUAUUACUAAACUUUUAUGUCAUCAAAUUGAUGAAUUUUACUUAACUUGGAUUGCUUUUCUUUUGUUUUAGUAAUGAACUCGUUUGAAGCAAUUGGAAAGAAAAGAAGGAUUAAUUGGCCGUUAAGUAGAAGUUUGUGGACUAAAUCUCACUUGAAUAAAAGCUGGAGGAUCAAAAUCGAGGAGAAAAUGAAGAAAAAGGGCUAACUUGAAUUACAUGGAAGAAUUGAGGCCUUGAAAGAUAAAUUGCAACUAAUUGGGCCUCAAAUUAAUGAAAAGUGAAAAUUUUAUGGGCAAAUUUGGCCCAAUGCCCUAAAAAAAUUACUAAUUUGAUUAGUACCCUAUUUAAUUAAUAAAAUCAUUCAACAACGUAAUUAAUACGUUAUAACCUCUCCCAAACCUCCAAACUCCUGAAGCCUGCAUGAAUGAGGAGAGUAGCAUCGCCACCGUCAUUCACAACUCAAAUUGGUUCCACCAUCAGAUCUCCAAUCGAGAGACCGCUCACUACACCACCUGUACUUGUGAAGUGUUUCACCCUUCUAGGCGAACACCGCCGCACUAUCGUUUGCAAUGGCUGCUGCGACGUGGUCCUGGGUGGAAAUUGGAAAGUAUGUUGCACGAGCACCUGAAGCACUUAGCACUUGAUUAUGUUUUUGUAUACAAAUAUGGUUUUUGUAAUGUUGUUUGUUUAGACUGCUCUGGUGGACUUCUAUUUGAAAAUGGGUCACAUGGACAUUGCACAUCGGAUGUUCAAUGGAAUUGAAGGGAAGAACGUUGUUUCUUGGAAUUAAAUCUAUGAGAUUUAGCAAUGGCUCAGAAUGUGUUUGAUGAAAUGCCAGAGAAGGAUGUGAUAUCUUGGAAUGCAAUGGUUUCAUCAAUACACCAUCCCCUUUGGAGCACCUCAUCUCUCUCUACAUCUCUGCCUUUCUUUGUCUAGAAACACAUUCUAAAUUCUCAUCUAUUCAACUUGUUUAGCAAUAUAUAUACUCUUUUUAUCAGUUUGCUAAAAGGUAAAAGCUAAAUUUCUGUUCAGAUAAUAACUUUAGCAAUGGCUCAAAGUAUGUUCGAUGAAAUGCCAGAUAAGGAUGUGAUAUCUUCGAAUGCAAUGGUUUCUAGUUAUGCAAUGGGCAAGAUUAUGGAGCAAGGAUAUGCAUUCUUUUGAUAGAUGCCAGGGAGUAGUUUUGCUUCCUGGAAUGCUAUGAUCUGUGGGUAUCUAGAUUGUGGAAAGAUAGAAUUAGCAUGCAACUUUUUUGAUGCGAUGCCCAAGAAGAACAACAUUUCUCAUAUCAGAGUGAUUUCUGGGUACUCAAAAUGUUGUCCGAGUUUGGGAAACUAUUCGGUCAGUAUUCAAAUUGUAGGAUAUGUUAUGAUUUGAAGACCGCAAAAAAUAUUAUUCGAGUAACAAUGAUGAGCGUUUAUAUGAUCUUUUGACAUUUACAUCUUAGGUUAGUCAUCAAUUUUCAUUAGUUGUGACUUGUGAGCUUAUUGUAAACUUGGUUGCAUUUAAAUUUUGGAUUAUGAUCAUAUUGUCCAAGUUGUUAGUUCAAAAAUUUUUAAUUUGUUCAUUAGCUGUGAACUUAUUAGAUAAUUUGUCUAUAUUGAAAAUUGUGGAUUACGGUUUGUCAUUUUUUUGAAUUUGAGUCACUUUUUUUUAAAUAUUUGUCACUUUUUUUGAGUUUGUCACUUUUUUUGAAUUUUUUUUUUACUUUUUGAGUGUUUGUCAUUUUUUAAUCUGUGUAACUUUUUUUAAAAUUGUGUCACUUUUUUGAAUUCGUCACUUUUUUUUUUUAAAUUUUCGUCACUUUUUUGAAUUUUCGUCACCUUUUUAAUGUUUGUCACCUUCUUGAUUUCUAUCUCUUUUUUAAAUUCGCCACUUUUUUAGUGUUCGUCACUUUUUUAAAUUUGUCACUUUUUUGAAAUUUUGUCACUUUUUUUUUAAUAAAAGGGGAGAUUGUAUGUCAUUUUUUAAUAAAAAAGCGACACUAAACUUUUAAAAGUGACAUUGUGUCACAUUUUUGAGUUUUUUUGUCACUUUUUUAAAUAUUUGUCACUUUUUGAAUAAAAUAAAAAAGUGACAUAAUAUGUUAUAUUUUCCUAACAUAAUUAGGACAUUAACAAUCCACAUGCUGAUUAUGUUAAGAACUGCUACUACGCUCUAAUUAUGUUAAGAAUGUGAUUGGUGGUGCUGCCUAAAUGGAUGGCGCUAUUUUGGUGUUUCUCACUUUUUUAGUGUUCGUGUCACUUUUUUUGAGUUUAAAAAAACAAAAACAAAAGUGACAAUUUUUAUAAAAAGUGACAUUGUGUCACUUUUUUCAUUUCACACAGUAUUUUUUACUUCCUAAAAACUUUUCAUAUGAUUUUUCAAAAUACCUCUAAUUUUAAGGGCAUUUUUGUAAGUUGCCCUAAUUUUAUUGGGCCUAAAGUGGACUUUUAAUUGUAAUCAAAUUAAAUAAUUAAUGAAACAUUGAAUUGGGUAGCUGUUUACGCAAUAGACAAAUAGAAACAUUUGGGUGGCUGGAGAAAAGAAAAAAGAGAAGCAAAGCCAACGGAAAAGCAAUAUGAAAUUAAGAAAUUAAUCACGUCCAUUGAUUUUUUAUGAUGCCUUUUAUCCUUUCUUUGUCUAAUUUCAAUAUUAUGCUAUGCUAAAUUAUUAUGUGUUAAGAUUAACGAUGAAACUUAUAUCAUGAACCUUUUAGAUCUAAAUUUUAUUUCUUUUGACAUUUAAAACAUGCUUUCAAUUCUUAAAUGAUUGGCAUGGAUUUAAUUUUUUCUACAAUUAUUUGAUCACUAAUUUUAUGAAUAUUGUAGCUUGUUUUACCCUUGAGAGAUGGGUAAUAAGUUAGACAUUGUGUCAACUGUCGUAAAAUCUGAUAGAGGAUAUAAAUAUGCCGUUAUACUUUCCAUGAUCUUUAAGUAUUCACAAAUCUAUUAAUGCAUUUUUAUAUGUUCACAUCCGUCAUAAAAAUAUAAGCAAGUCACAUGUAAAAAAAAUUUUAAUUCUGCUCGAGAGAGAUUGUUAAUCAAAUUAGGAAUAUUGAUCUUCAUAAUUGAAUUGUGUCAUCAAAUUUAUAAGUUUCAAGGUAAAGGGAAUUGAUAUAAGGGGACUUGAGAUCCUAGUACCCUUUUCAUCAUUAUAUUUUUUUAAAAUUUGCAUUUAAUUUGAGUCUUGCAUUUAGUUUAAUCAAUUUAGAUCUUGCAUUUAUAAGUAGAUUGUUUAAUGUAGUUAGAGAAAAAUUACGACUUUCAAUUGUUUCGAUUAAGGCUAAGUUAAUUUGACUAUGAACUAAAUCAAUGUCUAUGGCAAUGAUAAUUGGACUCAAGAAAAAUCCAUUUAACUACUUGUUAACAUACCAUACAAAUCGCAAAGUUUUAAAUCGAAAUAUUAUUAUCUGAACAAAUUUUUAGUGUCAUUGUUGAGGAUUGUGUUUGAGUUUAAGUUCAUUUAGCUUAGUAUUAAUUUGAAAUUUUUGUGUUUAUUUUAUUUUAUUUUUUCUUUGUUAAAUUAUUUUAAUGCUUCUAUUUUAUUUUUAUGACAUUUUAUGCAAAAUUUGGGAGACUGUGAAUUGAUACCAGCUAAUCCAAAAAAUUGAACAUACUUUUCAUCAUAGGCAAAGAUAAGCAAGAGAAACACAACAACAAGAGAUGGCCAAUGCAUAAAACAAUCCGAUUAUUCAAGUGAAUGAAGGUGCAAUGGUCUAUGAAGAAAAUAUGCCGGUUGGGGACUUCAUGGCUCCAAAAAUUAUUAAAAGCCAAUCUAACAUCGUUUACCCUCUUUUUGGACAGCCAAAUUUUAAGUUGAAGACCAAUGCUAUCCAACUAUUUCAGAAUGGAUAUCAAUUUUAUGGCAGAGCGGAUGAAAAUCCACAUACACGCGUAUCUCAAUUUAUGGAGAUGUGUAAACACUUUAAAUAUCAAGGGGUUUCAAAUGAUAUGAUCGAAUUGAGAUUAUUUCCACAUACUCUAUGGGAUAGAGCACUUGAAUGGUUAGAUUUAUAGCCUAUCACUAUUCGGAAUGACUUGGCUUAAAAAUUCUGCAUCAAAUUCUUCCCACCAAGAAAGAUAUCCAAAUUGAAGCAUGAUAUAUCCAUAUUUUGGUAGGGAGAAAUUGAAUCCUUCAAUGAAGAUUGGAAUAGAUUCAAGAACAUGCUUCAGAAAUGUCCUCAUCAUGGCAUUAGUAAAGGGCUCUAGGUCCAAUAUUUUUAUGCAGGUCUCCAUUCAUCUUACGAAAGUAUGGUUGACUAAUCGUCCAAUGGCUUCUUAACCACGAAGACAAUUUAUGAAGCAUUGGAGUUGUUUUGACAGAUUGGCUACUACUAUAGUCGUGUGGGCUUCUGAGUGGGUUGUUCAUAAGAAGGCAGGAGGAGUAUAUGAGGUGAACACUUAUAACUGGGUUAUCUAUAAAAAUUGAUUCUUUGGCUCAUAAGGUUAUGAGCAUAUCAUAGUCAGUCAAUGCAGUACAGUUCAAGCGGCGAAGUUGUGAAGAAUGUCGUACAUAUCAUAUUACAGUAGAUUGUCCAAUUCUUGCACAAAAUAUUGAACAUGUUGAAUAUGUACAAGAAGGUUAGCACCAACAAAAUAACCCACAUUCUAAUACAUACAACUCAGGUUGGAGAAAGCACCCAAAUUUUUCUUGGGAUAAUCAAAAUCCUACUGCAUUGCAUGAUUACCAGUAUUUGCAGCCUGAAAAGAGAGUUCUGCUAGAAGAAAUGUUUGGUAAAUUUAUAGAAAGGGCAGACCACUAUAUAGAGGUAAACAAUCAAUUCAUGAGAAGAACUAAGACAACCCUUAAAAAUCAAAGUGCUACAGUCAAGAACCUGAAAACUCAAAUGGGAUAGAUGGCACCUGACAUAUCAAGUAAAGUACCAGGUACCCUACCGAGUAAUACUAAUACUAACCCCAAGGAGCAAGUAAUGGCCAUAGGUAUUUUAGAGGAUGUAAUAAUUGAGGAUCUCUCUGUGAAAGCAAUUACAACAAUAAAAUGGAGUGUAGUUGCCAAUUAUGAACAAAGUGAAUACAAGAGAUGAGGAGAAACUGGAAGGUAAAAACAAUCAAUCACAAAAAUUUUGAAAGAGAAUAGAGGCAAUGCACAAUUUAAGGCACCGAUCUGGUUAGAGAAUAUGUAGCUCCCAUCUUGUUCCUACAAAGGUUAAAGAAACACGAGCUAGAUAAAUAGUUUGAAGAGUUUUUUAAUGUGCUCAAAAAACUCCACAAUAUCCCGUUCAUAGAUGUGAUAAGGCAAAUUUCAAACUACGCAAAAUUUUUGAAGGACAUGAUAUCAAAGAAAAGAAAGCUUACGGAAUUUGAAACUGUGGCACUGACAGAGGAGAGCAGUGCAAUAUUACAAAAUAAACUGCCUCCCAAACUCAAGGAUCUUGGGGUUUCACUUUACCCAUUUUAAUUGGAGAAGCUGGUUCUUUCAAUACUUUAUGUGAUACAGGCACAAGUAUUAAUUUAAUGCCUUUAUAUGUAUUCAAGAAAUUGGGAUUAUGGAAAGCAAAAGAAACAACAAAGUUAUUGCAGCUGAUUGAUAAAAGCAUCAAAUAUCCAAGAGGUAACAUUGAGGAUAUACUCAUCAAGGUCGGCAGAUUUAUAUUUCCAGCAAACUUUAUUGUUCUAUACAUAGAAGAAGAUAGAGAUAUUCUAAUAAUCUUAGGACGUCCAUACUUAACAAUAGGUCAAACUUUGAUUGAUAUGGAGAAAUGUGAACUAAUAUUGAGAGUUUAUAAGGAACAAUAAGUUUUGAAAAUACACAAUACAUCCAAACAACCAUCUAAUCUCGACGAGCGAAAGUGUAUUGAUGAAGAUGAACCAUCCAUUUAACAAAACUGUCAGAAUAAAAAACCAAAAUUUGGAGGAAUUAUUGGUAGAGACAAUGACGGAGAAUUCAUAGUUUAGAGAGAUAACACGGGAUGCAAGGUUAGAAAUUGCAAGGAGUACAAGGCAAAACAUUUCAAUUUGACCACCUUAAGGAAAUCACCCCAAAAGUCGAGCUCUAAGUUAUAAAUCGAGCGCUUAAUGUGAAGCAACCCAUUUUUCUAUCACUUUUCACUUAUUUCGAUUAGUUGUUGCAUUACAAGUAGUUUUAGGGAUUGCAUUAAUUUAAGAACUCAAGCAUUUAAAUGAUUUGCUUUGAACACAUUUUAGGUUGUACUUUAAGACUAGCAUUAGUAAUUUAGGUAAGUUUACUUAUUGAGUUUAUUUUUACUUAAACUCAUUGUUAACAUCCUAGCAUUAUAUUAAGCUUACCUUGAUAUGAUAUGCAUUAUUAAGGUAGACUGCAAUAUCCAACCUAUUUUGAAAGACUUAUCUUUUCGUAGCUAUAGGAUUUUUGUAGGGAUGCCACUAUGUCCGAACAUUAUAUGAUUAGAAUUUUUUUGGUGUGAAUUCAUUACAAAUAUUUAAACCUUAUUCUCUAUCACUAAUAUUUAUUUUGAAUUCUUGACAUAGAAAAUUAAAGCCUAGCAAUAAAGAAAGGUGGCAGUUGUCAUGACUUCUACUAGCUGAGCCAACUUGAUCCUUCUACCUAUCAGUAGAGUUUCUGAUCCUUACUAUUUUACAUCUAUUAUUCUUGCUCUUGCAUUGGGAAUAUUGUAAUAUAAUGCUGUCUAGUUAGAGUUGAAUGACUUGACGCCAAAGAUGAUAUUUAUUUGUUUGAAUUGAGUACAUGUUUAGUUAGAUACUGGUCAACACCAUAACUGUGCUUUUACUUGAAAACUUAUAUAUGUUAGAUUUGAUUAUUUCAGCACAUUGCCAUAUUGAAUUAUCAGUUACGUUGGGACAUGACUGAAUUAAGCCCCUGUUUGGCCCCCUUUUUUGGAAAUGAAAAUGGGUGGAAUAGUAGUUUUUCAAAAAAUGAGUGGUUAAAAAAGAAGAAAAUGUCUUCGAUUUACGUGUAAUAUUAUUUUGUGUAAGAUUGUAUUGUUGAAAAUAGGAGAGAGAAAAAUAAAAUGUAAUAUAAUGUAAUUUAAUGGAGGCCAAACGGGGGUUAAGUGAAUUUAAUUGUUGAUGUUGUUGAUCUAGGUUUGAAUAAAAUUUUCCAAGUCCUUUAUAGAAACUAAAUUGCUAUAAAUCAGUUUUGUGACAGGAAGGUUAGUGAUUGUUUUCAUUGAUGUGUGAUUAUUUGGAGUUCUUGGAUCCCAACAUUAGUUGAAGGAGUUUGAGUUAAGGAGUCUAAAAUGGGUACUGAUCAUAUCCUUAAAAAAAAUUCAAAUCUCAUACAUAUGUAACCUCUUUCGUAGCCUUUAUGACUCAAGUGAUUAAGCCUACUAAGGUUUUUAAAACUUGGUGCCCUAUAAUUGUUUGGUUUGGGAGUCAUCGGCCUAAUGCUCGCUACAGGGAUCAUUUAGAAAGUUAAAGGGAAAGAAGUUUUGCACAUAAGAUAUUAAAAAAAAAAAAAAAAGAAUGAAAAGUUAGAUUCUCAUAUUAAAAGGAAAAGUGACAAAUCUUCUACCUCUCAUCAUAACCUUUCUGACUCGAGUUAUUAAGUUUGUAAAGGUAUUUAAAAAUUUGGUGUUAUAUAGUCAUUUGAUUUGGGUACAUGCAUCAUUUAGAAAGCUUAAAAAGAGAAGUCUUGUACAGGAGAUGUAAAAAAAUGAUCUAAAUAAUCAAAAUUGAGAUGUGUUGGCUAAAGACUUUGAGAUGUAAACUCUAGGGUUAGCAGUGUGACUUUAAGACACAUUUACCACAUUUUUCCUAGGUUUACAUAUAUCCAAACCACUUGAGUGAAAAAUGCAUUAUUAUAAUUUUUAGAAACCCAUAUGUGCUAGAAGUACCUCGUGCUUUGGGAGAAAACAUAUGGAUUGAUCAUGCACGAGAGGCGUGAGGAAAAACUGACCACAAGAGGAUUGGGAUUGUGCAUAAAUCAACAUUACUCUAUUAGCUGUGUUCUAGUAUGGGAUGUGAGUUUAAUGUUGGCUAGUCAUACACACACUAAGUCGAGCAUCAGAUAAGUAAAAAUCUAUUUUAAUAUUAUUUGGAUCUUUCUAAAGUAUUACUUAAAUUUGAAUCUAAGGCUUAUGAUAAGCAAUUCAGCAUUGAGUCUUUUAUCUGUGAUUUGUUUGAGUUAGUUAUAUGUGUCAUAUCUAAGUUUUAUUUUAUUUUCUUCGAGGAUUAACAAAUAUUUUAGUUUGGAGGUGUUUGAUAAGUACAUUAUUAUGCACUUAUUUAGGACAUAUUACUAAACUUUUAUGUCGUCAAAUUGUUGAAUUUUAUUUAACUUGGGUUAAUUUUCUUUUGUUUUACUGAUGGACGCGUUUAAAGCAAUUGAAAAGAAAAUGAGCAUUGAUUGGCCUUUAAAUAGAAGUUUGUGGACUAAAUCUCACUUGAAUAAAAGCCGGAGGAUCAAAAUCGAGGAGAAAAUGAAGAAAGGGACUAACUUGCUUCACAUGGAAGAAUUGAGGCCUUAGAAGAUAAAUUGCAACUAAUUGGGCCUCAAAAUAAUGAAAAGUGAAAAUUUAGUAGGGCCUAAAGUGAACUUUUAAUUGUAAUUAAAUUGAAUAAUUAAUGAAACGUUGAAUUGGGCAGCACACACACACACACACACACACACACAUAUAUAUAUAGGCGGAUAGAAACCUUUGGGCGGUUGGAGAAACGGAAAAAGAGAAGCAAAGCCGGCGGAAAAGCAAUACAAAACUGAGGAAUUAAUCACGCUCCAUUGAUAUUUUGUGAUGUCUUUUAUCCUUUCUUUGCCUAAUUUCAAUAUUAUGCUAGGCUAAAUUAUUAUGUGCUAGGAUUUACGAUUAAAUUUUUUAUAAUGAACCUUUAAAUCCAAAUUUGAUUUCUUUUGACAUUUAAAACACGUUUUUGAUUCUUGAAUGAUUGGCAUGGAUUUAAUAUUUUCAACAAUUACUUGAUCACUAAUUUUACCUUCAAGAGAUGGAAGAUAAGUUAGACAUUGUGUCAAUUAUCGUCGAGUCUGAUAGGAAAUAUAAAUAUACAUUUAUACUUUAUGUGAUCUUUAAGUAUUCACAAAUUCAUUAUACAAUUUUAUAUGUUCACAUCCAUCAUAGAAAUAAAGGUGGGUCACAUGUAAAAAUAGGUUUAAUUCUACUUGAGAGUGAUUGUUUGACAAAUUAGAAAUAUUGGUCUUCAUAAUUGAAUCGUGUUGUCAAAUUUAUAAAUUUCGAGUUAUAUAUUUGUCUAAAAUUUGCAUUUAGUUUAAGUCUUGGAUUGAGUUUAAUCAAUUUAGGUCUUGCAUUUAUAAGUAUAUUAUUUAAAUUAGUUAGAAAAAAAUUACAACUUUCAAUUGUUUCGAUUAAAGCAAAGUUAAUUUGAACUUGAUCUAAAUCAAUCUCUUUAGUAGCUAUACACCACUAAAAAAUAUGGCUUCAGGCACGGAUUUUCCAUUCCUAAAACCUUGAUAUCCGUUGCUAUUACUCUUUACCAACGGAAUAUUUGCAACUACAAAUCCGUUGUCAAUUUGAGGGUCGCUAAUAGUUACUAAUGGAUUGUGCUAUAGGUAAAGAGUAAACAUUUUACCAACGAAAAUUUCGUUGGUAAUGUGUGAAUUUUUUACCAACGGAAUUUUUGUUGGUAAAAAUCUUAAUCAAUACCAACUGUCUUUUCAUUGGUAAAUGCCUACCAUUACAAUUGGUAACAAUUCAUAUUGUAAAUAGUCGUAUAGGUGUGAGACAUGGUAAAAAAAAUAAAUUAUUUACUUAUGUUUUUAUAAUUGUUAUUAUUAUAUAUUUAAUAAUUAUAAUUCUUUUUAAGACUUUUAAACAAUUGAAUUAAAAAGUCAAAAUAUUGUUUAACCACUUAUUGGACUAUAAAUUUAUAGAGGAUAACUCCAAAGACUUUAUUAUAAACUUCUGAUGUGGGAUAAUUGAAUUACUUUUACCAACGGAUAAUCCAUUUUUAAUUACCAACGGAGUAUCUGUAGGUGAAAGAUUUAAAUGUUAAACGGUCAUGUUACGCACAGAAUAUCCGUUGGUAAAAAGAUAUUAUCAUUACCAAUGGAAAAUUCGUUGCUGAUUAUUGUAAUUGAAAGUGAAUUACUUUUACCAAUGGAUUGUUUCCGUUGGUAAUAUAUGGCACGUCACCUACGGAAUAUUCGUAGGUGAAAUAUCCAAAUGUUAAACGGUUACAUUAGGCACGGAAUAUCCGUUAGUAAAAGGAUAUCAUUAUUACCAAUGAAAAAAUCAUUGUUACCAAAGGAAAAUCCGUUGCUGAUUAUCGUAGUUGAAAGUGAAUUACUUUUACCAACAGAUAAUUCGUUUCUAAUUACCAACGGAUUAUCGUAGUUUAAAGUGAAUUACUUUUACCAAUAGAUAAUCCAUUUCUAAUUAUCAACAGAUUGCAUCCGUUGGUAAUUUUUCGUAGGUGAAAAACUGUUUUUUAGUAGUGAUACUUGGACUCAAAAAAAUUCAUUUUACUACUUAUUAAUGAACCGUACACUUGCGGAAUUUUAAAUCGAAAUAAUAUUUUUGUGAACAACUAACAUGCAUCUAUGAAUAAUGUGGUUGUCAUAUUUCCAUUUGUUAAUUUCAUAGUGUCUCUUGCUCUCUUUUGGUUUCCCUUAUUCAAGUUAGGAGUAAAGUAAUGUGAUUGGUAUGUUGCUUGUUUGGUAUAUUUUGGAGUUGCAUUAGAUAAAACCAUCGUGUUGUAACAAUUGGAAGGUUAAAAAGUAAUGGUGGGUAUCGUGACUUUAUAGAGCACUUUGUACAAACAUGGUUUCUUAGGUAAUGAUGUUGCAGAAGCUCUUAAUGAUUAUGCAUGUUGGUGUAGAUGAUUUUAUUUUUGCAACCUUCUUAAUAUGUAUGUUACUAGAAAGCUGCAUUUGAAAUUUCCUUUACACCUAUUUGUAGGAAAAUCCAAAGUUUGGAAAGUUCAAAGACAAUGAUAACAACAAAAUUUACCACACUUAUAGCAAACUAUUUAGUAAUAGUUAUGGUUUCAAGAAAUAUCUUUUAACAUUGACUGAAUUAUCGUAGCACGAUUUUGAUUUUGGCUCGGACAACGACACGGAUGAUCCAAAUGACAUGUUGUCCAUCAACGUUGAGACAGUAGAUUUAAGUGCUGGGCCUACAAAGGGCAGAGCAAACUCGUUUGGUGAGAAGCAUGAAGAAAAGCAAGCGAGUAGAAAUAGAAAGAAGAAGAAGUUCGAUGCAAGGGCAGGGAAGUUCUAGAGUUUGUAGAUAACUUAGCAUCUACAUUAAGGAAAUUCGCCUCGGUCAUUUGGUCUAGAGACAAGGGUGGAAUGAUGAUUCUCGAGUACUUCAAUGACUUGCUUUUGAAUGGCCUCAUCAAAGCUGGUGAUCAGUUACUUCUGUUCAUUCUGGUUCUUUUAGGACUCAGACAAUCAAAUUGAUUACAGUGCCACUCAAACAACGGAACUUAGAAUGAUCAAAAGAAUGCCCCACGUGCCUAUACUUGAACAAAAAUAGGUAGCUUCUCAUGUAUCACAUACUUUGAAAAAUAACAAUUCUUUUCGAACUCAUCUAGGCAUUGUCAAGUAGUUUGAGCUCUAGGCUUAAUUCUACAUAAAUCGUAGCCUCACAAAGUCUAUAUAGAUUCGAGAUGGACUUAUCAAUCUUUAUUGGUAACCUAAUAGGUUUAGAUAAAGCAAGCAAAAUGCUCCUAACACAUAAGUCCAAAGGCAGUAAUGAAAAAAAGAAUCUACAAUGGAGUAUAUACACAACCUUAAUUAUAGUGUUUUAGAUUGAAUGCAUAUCUUAAAAUUUGUCAAAGUUGAAUAUAUACCUAGGUUGGAAAAUAUGGCCGUUUGAUUUCCUUGUGCGUAGUGAGCGGCAAGACUAGCAUUCAAAUGCCAAACUCGUGGGCAGCAAGUGAAAGACUUCUUGUUCUAAGCACUCGAAGAGGAGAUGAGCACUUAACGAGAAAAAAUGUGGUGACUUCUUCUCCUUAGUCUAUCUUUAAACUUCUUCAAGGCCUUUUCAACCAAACAACCAAUAUUCAAUGGAAUUUGGGUCACACUUCAACAAAUCUCCACAUUCAUUUAGAUUUCUAUACAAGGAAUUAUUGUUCACUCAUUAACAAACAAUUCUCUAGCCUUCCAGGCAAGCCCCUAAAGACCAAUUCAACAAAAUAAUAUCAAUCAAGUCCAAGAAAUACUCAUAUUUGGCCACAUUGAAUGCCUUCGUCAAUAUGUCAACUAAACUCUCCUUGGUAUCAACUUUGCUCGCUACAAUAUUACCACGAGUAAUCACAUCACACAAAAAUGACACCUCACAUCAAUGUGCUUUGUCCUCUCGUGAAAUAUCAGAUCAUUUGUUAGAAAAUUAACACUAUAACCAUCAAAAUAAAUAAAUAAAUAAAUAAAAUUGUAGAUAUCUACUAGUCUUUACUAAUUUUACCCAACAAUCUCCUCAACCACAUAACCUCCUUACGAGCCUCUGUAAUAGCCAUAUACUCUGCCUCUGUAGAAGAUAAGGCCACCACAUUUUGUAAAGUAGCCUUCCAGGUAAUAGCACAACCACCAUUGGUAAACACGUACCCUGUAUGAGAUCUCCUACAAAAUCUAAAUUAACAUACCUAAUAACUCCAUAUGUAUUUUUUUUUCAAAAUGAAAACAAGAAUUAAUAAAGCUAUAUUGGUAUCUGAAAAUCUACUGCAUUCAUUUCUAAUCUUCAUUUACAAGAUUUUCCAUGUAAGAUACUAACUUUACUAACUGUAUGUGCUAAAUCUGGGUGUAUAUAAAGCAUAACAUACAUAAGCGAUCCAACUACACUGGAAUAAAAAAUAUGUGUCAUGCAAUCGAUAUCCUCAUCUGAUUAUGGAUACAAAACAAAUGACAGUUUAGAAUGGGCAGCCAAAGGGAUACUGACAUUCUUUGCAUUCAACAUAUAAAACCUUUAGAUUGUUCUCUCAAGGUACCAUCUCUGACUCAAGUAUAAUCUAGCAUCAUUUCUUCUCUCGAGAUCUCCAUUCAAAGAAUAUUCUCCACUGAUCCCAAGUGUUUCAUAUCAAAUUUUUUUAUUGAGUUAAACUUUUACUUCAUUACCUCUACUUUAUUUUGGAUAGCUAUCAACAUAUCAUCAACAUAAAGUAGUAGAUAUAUAAACAAUCCAUCAUCACACUUCCUGAAGUAUACAUCACUAUCAUAACUACUUCUUUUAAUGUCAUAAAUAUUCAUGAAUGAGUUAGACCUUUUAUAUCAUUACCUCAGUGAUUGAUUUAGACCAUAAAUGGACUUCUUCAAUGAACAUACAUAGUCUUCAUUUCUUGUGACAAAAAAGCCCACCACUAUUCCAUAUAGAUGUCCUCUUCAAGUUCUCUAUGUAAGAGUAUUAUUUUCACAUCCAAUUUUUCAAGCUUCAAAUCAUUAUUGGACAUAAUACCAAGCAAAUCUUUAAUUGAGCUAUACUUUACAAUUGGAAAAACUAUAUCUAUGAAGUCUACACCUAGAAUCUCUAUAACCCUUAGCCACUAAUCUUGCUUUGCACCUGGUAUUUAAGAAUUCUGAUGCAAAUUCCACGCUCCUUUUGAAUAGUAGAUUACGAUAAACAAUUUCCUUCUCCUUGGAUAAUUUCACUAAGUCCCAUAUGCCAUUUUUAUGAAUAGAUUCCAACUCUUCUUGCAUAGCAAAAUCCCCCUGCCAUAGUCAUUGCAACUCACUACUUUAGUGUAUGUAGUAGGCUCUUCACUAGAAUCAAUAUCUUUAGCCAUAUUCAAUGUUACCAAUUAGCUUUCCCAUACUUUUGUUGAGGCCUAAUCACCCUCUAGGUUUAUCUUUAGCAAUAGAAUACUGCAGUAGUGGUUGCAAAAAAGUACUCUCCUUCACUUUUGAAUUAGACUAAGAUGAAAGCUCUCAUUUAGACACUAAACAAACUCCAACUCCGCACGUAAUUUCUUUAUAUUAAUUUGUAUUACCAAAAUUUCUAAGAGAUAAACUGAACCAUUUCAUUUUAACUUAACAUAAAUCUAUACUAAUCACAACCCUAUUUGUUUCUAAACACUAAAGAUUAUAUCCCUUAACACCAUAUUUAUAACUAAGAAAAAAAUACUGUUUAGACUUUGGCCCCAACUUUCCAUUAUUCAUAUUAGCAUAAUUAAGGCACCUAAAUAUUUUUGAAUCCGAGUAACUAAGGGGAGACGUAGACCAUACAUCUUCUAUGUCAUUUUGCCAAUAGUAAUUGACGGUGAGGGGUUGGUACUAAAUCAAGUUGUAGAAGCAGCUUUCAACCAAGAUUGUCAGGUCCUUAGAUCUUUAUCUGAGAUAUAUAGGUCAAAAUUUGCAGCUAUAGAGGAGAGUAAGGACUAGAUGCUAUUAGGGUUGAAGAGUUGGUUAGAUCUCUACAGACCUAUGAACUAAUAUUAGCUAAAAUAUCAAAAGAUAAGUUUUGGCCUUGAACAUUCUUAGGGAUAACAUUAAUGAGUAUUCUAAUUCGGAGUCACCUAAUAUCGAUAUAGCUUGUAUUGCUAAAAAAUUUUGGAAAAUGUUUAGAAAUAAGAUAAAGCCUCAAGUGAGACAGAGAGGUGAUCCGAGUGAGUCUAGAAAGAGAUCUCAAUAUGUGAGAUGUCAUAAGUGUCAAGGUUUUGACCAUUAUAGGAGUGAGAGCCCUAACAUUAAGAGGAAUAAGGAUAAAGCUAUGAAUAUUACUCUCACUGAUAACGAGUCUAUCUCGGUUAUUCAAAGUAAGAGGUUCACUUAGGAUGAGAAUGGAAAAUAUAUGGUCUUCACUGUUAAGGCUAGGAGUAAAUCUGAUAAAGAGAGUGAGAAGGUUGAGGAUGCAGAUAGUGGUAAGCAAUAUUAGGAAGAUUAUGAAGAUGAGGAAGACAUAACUAAGCUUAUGAUAAAUUAUAUAAGGAGAGCCUUAGGAUAUUGACUACCAAUAAAGUCUUGUGUACGAAGGUCAAAGAUCUUGAGCUAGAGAAAUAAAAACUAAUAGCUGACUUUUAGGAAUCUACCUUAUCCCUAAGUAAGUUGAACUCUGUGAAUGAAUUCUUAGAUACUUGAUUUAAGAAUCUUAUUAGUGAUCUUGAGGAGUCCUCUAGGAGACUUAAUGACUUGAUUAUUAUGAAUGAGUCUUUAGAAAACAUGGUUAAGACCUUUAUGAUUGAUCUUGAUGAUUCCAACACCCAUCUCCUUGCAUUCUCUAGUGGUUUAUUGAAGCUUGAUAGCAUCUUAGGAAUGAGUAAGCCUAUUGGUAAUAAGGGAAGUUUUGGAUAUAAGGAGAAUGAUCACAAUACUUCUAGUACUUUCAAGACCCUUGUUGUCCCUAUCCUUAACCAAUCUAAGUACAUUCCUAACCCUGAACCCAAGAAAAAGGAAAUCAUAAGACAAAGGCCUACUAGACAGCAUAGGACCUACCAACCUAGGAAUAAAAAUCAACGACCACAUAACCUUGGUCCUAGAUUUAUCCAUACUUGUUUCAAUUGUGUUGAGUUAGGACAUAUAAGGCCUAGGUAUCAUAAAUUCUUGAGUAGAAAUAAAAUCAGAACUUCAAUAGAAAUAAAAGUAAAGAAGAGGAUUUUGAUGGCCGAAUUGACUUCUUCACUAAUUAAGUGGGUCAAUUGACUGAGUUAGUGAUAUAGUUGACUAGAUUAAUUCUUCAACUAGGCAAGUUUAGGUAAAGAGGAGUGAUCCAAAAAUUCUUAAAUAGAUCACUAUGCUCUUAAAGGUAAGAGAGUUUGUAUACCUAACUGAUUAGGUAUUUCUAGUGCAUGCUUGUGUAUAUUCAUUGCGAUUCAUUCACUGUUACAUACAUCUCAUUUUUGUAUUUGCUUUAUAGGUAGUAAGUCCAUGUAUGUGCAUCUUCAUCAUGUUUGUAUUGGCACAUGCAUUUUUAUUUUACUUUUUUGUAUUGUGUGUUGAAUAUUUUUAAUUUUUUUUAAAAAUUUUGUGUGGUUAGAGCAUUUAUUUAAAAAAGGGUAAAGUUUUUAAAACUAUAACAUGAUAUAUGAUAUACUUGAAUUUGAGUGUUGUGACCAACUAUGAGUUUAAUUGAUGUGCUGUAGCAUAUUUUUUCAUUAUUUGCUUAGCUUUUGAUAGAGUACUUAGUCUAGGUUUUUCAUACACCAUAUGUACUGCACACAUUAUGAUAUUGCGAGAGGGACUUGACAGCGUGUGAGAUUUGAGAUGGCAGUUUCAUGUUGGUAUGGUGACUUUGAACAUGAAUUGACCUUAUUUCAUUAGACCUAAGAUCAAGUAUAUUCUUUUGAAAGAAAAAAAUUAGUAUCUUAUGCCCUUUUUCGGAGUCUUUUCGACUCGAGUAAUUAAAGUUGAGGCUUUUCUCAGAACAUAGUGUCUAUAAUCAACUGACUUGGGUUAAUCGAUAUAUAUAUAUAUAUAUAUAUAUAUAUAUAUAUAUAGAUUAACCCAAGUCAGUUGAUUAUAGACACNNNNNNNNNNNNNNNNNNNNNNNNNNNNNNNNNNNNNNNNNNNNNNNNNNGUGUGUGUGUGUGUGUGUGUGUGUGUGUGUGUGUGUGUGUUUAACUUUCAUAAGUAGAGGGAUAAGCUUAUUGACAGAGAUGUUUAGAAUGUCAUUUAUUACAAAAUUAAAGUUUGUAGUCCUGCUUACAAAGUAUUAGUAACACCCUACAUACAUAGGGUCACUUAUACAAUUUACUCCAUUUUAACUUGAAUUGAGUAUGUGAAAAAAUGUAUUGAUCGUUAAUUAUGCUUGUGCAUUAUAUCAACUGCAUCUUUGAGUUAUUAUAUAUUGAUGUUUAUGUGUAUUUGAUAGAAUUCCCAUAGUCAUUUGUGACAAAAAAGGGGCGAGAAAGAUCUUAUUGUAAUUUUGAGUUAAGAGUUGAUGCAUUUUAGGGAGAGUUUGCAGUAAGGGGGAAAGAUGAUAGUAUCUUUUAUUCAUGGCAUUCCAUAUCAUAAUGGAUAGCUUCUUUGAAUUUUGAUGUUUGGUGAUAUUAAUGUUUCAAUUGGUGUUUUGAUUAACACUAGUAUCACUUCUCAAUCUAGCCAACAUAUUUAUGAUUAUAGGUUUCAAUUGUUAUAUUUCUUUUAUCGUGUGCUUUUACACUUGGUAUAUGAGUUGUCUAUUUUAGGAAACAGGUUAAUAAGGAAUGUAAGAGACAAACAUUCAGUUUUGGUUUGGAUAGAUUAGUUUUUAUUUUUAUUUCCUUGACUUGUGUGGUAUAAUUUUGUCCCAGAAUACCCAAGGGGGAGUUUGUUAGGAUUUAUGUUGUAUUGGCAAUUUUGUAGAUAAAAUAAAAUCUUAGUUAAAUUGCAUUAGGAGUUUAUUUGAGUUGUGUCAAAGUCAAAAUAGGAGUUAUUGAAUCCUAAUUAAAGUCAAAAGAGUUGAGAUUGCUAGUAUAGUCCUUGAAAGAGUCCAAGAUGUCGAAGAAGAUCACGUGUGAUCAGGGAAAUACAAUUAGAAGUCUAAAGAGUUUUAAAGAGCAGCAAAAGUUAUGUUUUAAAUUUUCACUCAUAAUUUGUAACACAUUUUUAACAUAGAAAACAUUAGAAUUUGAACAAGGCUAUUUAAAGGAAUUGUAGCCCUUUGAGUUGGCUUUUUAUUGUAUUUUGAAUCCACUCAAACAGACAUUGGAAGAGAAAGUUAUUAUAAAAUACUAACAAUUGCUCACCAAUUGCUCACCUAUCGCUUGUCUAGAGUUCGAGCAAUGGUGUUACAUGUGUAACCUUAUUUCGCACUUUUCAAGAGUUUUAUCUGGCCCAUACUACCUAAUUAUCUCUUACUAUAAAUACCCAAGCCCUUAUAUAUUUUGUUUGUGGUUGUUCAUAUAUUACCUUUUCAUAAUAUCAUUCCUAGAUCCAAGAAUAAGAUUACUAAAGAUUGAGGAAGGUCAGACCAAAAGAACGGAAGAGUACAAAAUAGCGUGUUCUUGAUGAUUCACAGGAGAUAGACGAUUUCAAAAAAUCGUGAACAGAUGUGAGUGAAGCACAAUAUCAAAAGAUCAGGAGAUUAUUAGCUUGGUCCUAAAGUUUUUACUCAGUUAGGUUUUCUCCAUCAACAUAUUUUGUGUUGUUUAUCGCUUUCAUACCAUUGAUUGUGGCAUUCAAACUAUAGAAUAAUCUGAUGUGAUUAAUUAACUAUCUAGAAACAAUUAAAAAGUGACUUGUUUCUUUUAUUAUAUAAUUCCUAACAUUGGGUCAAAAUAAAUUAGCUAAAUCUAAACAUUCAAGUGGUAUAAGAGCUUGUCACUCAUGGAAAUGAUAUUUAUACUCAUUUUACAAUAUUAUUUGUUAGUGCUCCAAUACACUUGUUCAACUUGACAGGGCAUUGUCCAACAUAUUUUAAAAGCAGUAAAUAUAAAAGUGGGAAAAAUAUUUUUCCCUCAUUUCAACGCACACAAAUAGAAGAAAAUUAUUAUAAAGGACAAGAAGCGUAAAUUAAUAAAGGUUUAAAGAAAAGAACUCAAUGAAAAAAAGAUAGGAACAUAAGUUCUACAAUGAGCAUUGAUCGAAGAAUUCAAAUGCAAUCAAAGUGUAAUGUAACAAGUAAAAAUACAAUGUAAAUAUAAUUAUCUGGUAUAGAAUCAUUUGAAAAUUUUUGGAUUCAAUUUUUUUAUGGAGCCAUGCCAAAAAAUAUUAUUUAAUUGUUGGAGGUUGUUAAAGUUAUUUACAAUCAAAUUGAAAGUUCCCAAUAUUGCUUAUUUGGCAAUAAAUUUUUUUAACACUUGUUCCACGUAGCUAUGACUAUGCUUCUAUGUUAUGAAAGCAUUAAAAUUAAAAGGAAAAAGUGUUAACAUCAUUGUUCUGCCAAGUACCAUCCACACGCUUUCUAGCAACUCACACCACCAAGCCCUGCUAGUCCACUACUAAAAAUUCCAAAUACAUACCACUUUUUGACAAGAUCAUGUGCCCUAGUCUUACAUGUUACGAAUAGAAACACAAAUUGCUUGUAAUGAAGAAUAUGACAAAAUUAAAAAAAUAAAAAAUAAAUAAAAUGAAGAAGCUAAAAUGAUAGGAUAUUCUAGGAAAUGUUGACCUCCCAAAUGCUGAUUUUCGAGGAACAAUAAACCUCGAAAGACUAAAAGUACAUUUACAGAAAUAAUUGAUCCCCCUUUCUUCAUUCUUUAUUUGAAUUUAAAUAUGAAAAUAUUGUACCAAUUAUCUUCUAAAAUCAAGAACCAUUUCAAAAAUAAGAAAAUAUAAAAUUAAAACCUGAAAAUAAAGAAAUAAAAUAAAUUACAAAUAUAGAAAUGUAUAAUCUUCUUCCUCCGAGAGUUUUGCAAUUCACCGUAAUUGCAAGAAAAUAUAAAACCCAUUUGACGAAAACCGAUAAAAGGACCCAGAGCCAAAAAUAAAAUAUAUGGAAUUAAAAGUUCAAUCGUUCAUCCAAGCAUUUCACUUGAUAUCACUUCAUAAAAAAAAUUAAAUAAAUCGUUUUUCCAACACUUUGUUAGGUAUAUCAUAUGAAGUUAGAUAAUUUUUAAUUUCCUGGAUUAAUAUGUUAUUGAAAGUUCAAUUCUUUCUGCUUACGGGCCAUGCAUGGACUUUCACUUUAUAUAUGAAAAAGUCAUCACCUAAUAAUACUAUUUUUCCCCACAAAUAACUUGAAAAUAAUAUGCACUAAGGAUAAUUCAAGAAGCAUGGCUAAUACCAAAGUCGGCAUCCUUACUAUCUUUUUAAUCUGUGGUAGUUAAGCAGUCAUCUCUAGGGGCGGACGUAGACAUUUUGAAUUAGGGGGUACAGUCAAACCUUAUAUAGAUUGAAUAUUUUGUUCUUGAUUUUUAAAUAAUUUAUACUUAACUUGAGAAAAUGCAGAACUAAGUUUAAAAACACAUUCCUCCAUCAAUAUUUUGUUCAUCGUUUUAAUCCAUUUGAAUUCGAACAGUCUUUUCAUUAAUAUUUUGCUCAUCACAAGAAAAUACGUGUUUACAUUUAAAGAAUUUAUAGUGUAUUUGAUACAAACAAUCCGUUCAAGUAAUAAAAAGAGAAAAAAAAACAUAUAAUCAAUAUUCAUUACUAAUAUUCAAUCAAAUAAAUACAAUUUGUUAAAUAUAAGUCAAGAUGGACAUAAUUUAUUUAAGGCUCAUUCAAAAUACACAAUUUGAUAGGAGAAAAUGUAAAUUUAAGCUCAAAAUAUGAUUAGGAAGUGAAGUAAAUUUCUUAAUUUGUCGAGAAAUUAUAAACAAAUUUUAAAAAAUUAGAAGAGUUAAGGUUUUGAUAGUAUAAGGGAAAGUGAAAAAGUUCAAAUUUAUUGUGAUUUUGUCCUUAUUUGAUGGAGAUUAAAAUCAAAUUUAUUGUAAAUUUUGAUAGAAGUUGAAAUUUUUUUAGUCCCAUGAAAUAUGUUAUUAAAAUUAAUUGUUAAUUUUUAUUUAUAUUAAAAUUUAUAUUUUAAGUCAACAAUCAUGGUUUUAUUUGAAUAUACAGAUAUAAAUAUAUUCUUGUGUGUCACGUGACCCCCCAAAACCCCCCUUCUAUCUGCCCUUGGUCAUCUCUUACCCAUUGAUAAAUCUUGUGUGUUUUGAUCUUCAUGUACAGAGAAGCGUGCAAGGUAAUAAAUAAGUUACUCGUGCAUGUAACAUAUUAAGGUUUUGCAUAAAUUUAACAUACUAAGAUCGUGAAUUUAUUAAGAUCUUCUUGUAAAGGGAAGCGGGGAAUAUAUUUUGUAUGUAAUAUUGAAUAAAACUAAUUAGUUUAAUCAACAAGCUAUCAACUUCUUUUUAUUUUUAACUAUCAAGUUCUUCCACUUAUAAGUUAUUCUUUUCUUCGUUCGUUUGGAUUCUAAAGAGACAUUGCACUACUAUAAGUAAUGCUAUUAAGUUGAAGCGUGACAUACACAUGAUUUUCUCAUACAUGCAUCAUGAAUUUUGCCUAAGUUUUCUUUGACCAUGUUUUAUACGCGAACCAUAGAAUAAUAUGAUGUGAUUAAUUAACCAUUUAGAAACAAUUAAAAAUUAACUCGUUGCUUUUAAUUGUAUAAUUCUUCAUCUUGAGUCUAAAUAAUUUAGAUAAAUCUAAAUUUUCAAGUGAUAUAAGAGAUUUUAACUCAUGGAAAUGAUAUUUAUACUCAUUUUACAAUAUUAUUUGUUAAUGAUCUAGUACGCUUAUUUGUUUUGACAAAGCAUUGUCCAGUAUAUUGUAAAAGCACUAAAUAUAUAACCGGGAAAAUUAAUUUUCCCUCAUUUCAACGAACACAAAUAGAAGAAAAAGUAUUAUAAAGGAUGAGACGUACUAAUAAAUAGAGGAUUGAAGAAAAGAACUCAACGAAAAAAUGAUAGGAACAUAAGUUCUACAAUGAGCAAAGAUCGAAGAAUUUAAAUGCAAUCAAAGUGAGAUUUAACAAGUAAAAAUAUAGUGCAAAUAUAAUUAUCCGGAAUACAAUCGUUUGAAAAUUCUCGGAUUUAAUUUUUUCCCUGGAGCCAUGACAAAAAAUAUUAUUGAGUUGUCAGAGGUUGUUAAGCUAUUUACAAUCAAAUUGAAAGUUUCAAAUAUUGCUUAUUUGGCAAUACAAAAUCUUAACACUUGUUUCACAUAGUUAUGACCGUGCUUCUACCAAGUACCAUCGACACGCUUUCUAGCAACUCACACCACCAAGCCCUGCUAGUCCACUACUAAAAAUUCCAAAUACAUAGCACUUUUCGCCAAGAUCAUACACCUUAGCCCUCUUAAAUAUUACGAACAGAAUCACAAAUUGCUCGUAAUGAAGAAUAUAACAAAAUAAAAAAGAACAGCUAAAAUGAUAGGAUAGUUCUAGGAAAUCUUGACCUCUCAAAUACUGAUUUUCGAGGAACAAUAAACCUCCAAAGACUAAAAAUACAUACACAGAAAUAAUUGAUCCCCCUUACUUCAUUCUUUAUUUGAAUUUAAAUAUGAAAAAAUCGUACCCAAUAUCUUCUAAAAUCAAGAACCAUUUCAAAAAUAAGAAAAUGUAAAAUAAAAAAUAUAGAAAUGUACAAUCUUCUUCAUCCAAGAGUUUUGCAAUGCACCAUAGUUGCUAGAAAAUAGAAAAUCUGUUUGACCAAAACUGAUAGUAAAAGGAUCUAGCGCCCAAAAAAAAAAAAAAAAAAAAAAANAAUAUAUAUAUAUAUAUAUAUAUAUAUAUAUAUUGUAAUUUCAAGGUUGAUCAUUCAUCCAUGCAUUUUACUUAAUAUCACUUGAUAAAAAAAAUUAAAUAAAUCGUUUUCCGACACUUCGUUAGGUAUAUCAUUUUAACUUAGAUAAUCUUUAAUUUUCUGGAUUAAAAUGUUUUUGUAAGUUCAAUUGGCUUUUGCUUACGGACCAUGCAUGGACUUUCUCUUUAUAUAUGAAAAUUUCAUCAUCUAAUAACACUCUUUUUCCCUAUAAAUAACUCUAAAUAAUCUGCAAUAAGCAUAAUUCAGGAAGCAUGGCAAAUAGCAAAGUCAGCAUCCUUACUCUCCUUUUAAUCUGUGGUAUGUUCUAAUUGCUUCUCUUUUUUGGCUUUCAAGAAUUAUGCCAACUUGUACAAUUUACAGAUCAAAUAUGAUUUCUAUGACGGUCAAGAGACGAAUGAUUUAUGCACUUUUUUAGAAACCUAUAUCCACUGAAUUUUGACACUUCUUCGAUGGCCAUGUAUUUAACCAUUGUGAAACAAUUUUUCGAAAAUAUAGUAAAUUAGUAAUACUGAUUUUAUAUUAAUAGUUAAGCAGUCAUCCGUCACCCAAUGAUAAAUAUUGUGUGUUUGAUCUUCAUGUACAGAGAAACGUAGAAGGUAAUAAAUAAAUUACUAUUGCAUAUAAUAUAUUAAGGUUUUGUAUAAAUAUUUACAUACUAAGAUCAAGAAUUUAUUAAGAUCUUCUUGUAAAGAGAAGCGUGGCACAUAUUUUGUACGCAAUAUUGAAUAACACUGAUUAGUGUAAUCAACAAGCUAUCAACUUCUUUUUCUUUUUAAUUGUCAAGUUCUUCCACUUACGAGUGACUCUUUUCUUUAUUCGUUUGUGGAUUCUAAAGAGAUUUUCACUACUAUAAGUAAUGAAAUUAAGUUGAAGCAUGACAUAUACAUGAUUUUCUCAUAGCUGCAAUUGAAUUUUGUCUGAUAAGUGUGUUUUUGCACACUUAUUUAGAUCACAAACAUGAUUUAAUUACGAGCAGAAUAUUUGAAUUGUGACUUAAUCUCUUUGAAUUCAUGCAAUGUAGGCGUUUCUAUGAAAAUGGUGGAAUUCAGGAGAAAAUAGCAGAAAAAGGACUAAAAUGGAGCAAAGUGAUAGUUCAGGGACUAAGAUGCAAAUAUUCAAAAGUUGAACUAAAAGGCAACCCGGGAAAGCAACUAUGCUAAGUAUGAACUCGAAAGUGAUACAAGAUGAUUGGAUCUAUGCGGUUGCAUGGAGGCCUCCCAAGAUUUUUUUCUCAAAUUUUUUUACUCUAUGCGACCACAUAGAAUGUACUAUGCUGUCGCAAAGAACAAGUUCUGGGGCCGAUCUGCAGUUUCCUCAUACGACUGAAACUUUUUUGGUACCCUAAUUUUCAUGCGAUAUAAAUACCAAAAGACAUCCGGAAAGAAGUAGAACGUAUUGGAGGCAGAAAAACACUUUUUGGAGAGGAUUUUGAGCAGAAGAACGAAGAUUUACACGAAGAGCUUCAAGAUUUCAUAACUUGGUGAUGCCUUUUAUCCAAAAUCUGAUGUAUUCUUUUAUUUUAACCAUGUUAGGCUAGAUUUUCAUGUGCUAGGAGAUCGAUGUACCAUGUAAUUUGAUUUUUAAUUUUCUAGUUUUGCAAUUUGACAUUAAGACAUAUUCCUAUUGUUUUGAAUGAUUUAUAUACAAUUAUUGUUUCCGCAAUUAAGGGCCCGUAAUUGUGUGAGUUUGGGUGAUUUAUUCUUGCAUUCGAGAGAAUUGGAAUAAGUUCGAUAUUGUAACGCCCCGACCCCUAGUGGACUGAAACGCUACUUACUUUACUUAGCUUAACCGGUGGUUUAGUAACAAGUGUAUACGUUUUAGUGGAAGCUUACAUCUUCGGAUAAUAAUUUAAAUAACAAUACUUUAAACAAAAACACUGAAUCAUUUUUCAAAACAACAAAAUGUAAUUUAUUUGAAGAAACAUAACUUGUUCUCGCAUUCUGCAUUAUUCAAAAUUUUAAAGAAAUAACAUUGGAAAACAUUUCAUAAAAAUAAAUCCAAAUCACUUAUUCACCAGAUUUCUAUGGCCUCGUUGCAUCACUCUCCAUCUUCUCCUCCAUCCAUGGCCGAGGUAGAAUUCCUUCAAUCUGUAGAGAUGGGAUUAAACCCGUGGGUUGAAAAACUUAAUAGGUGUCAUAGGUGCAUUCAUGAUCAAGCUAUACAUUUUAAAACAUUAACUUUAUAACUUUUCAUACAUGCCAUACCCGGAGGCACCAUUUGACAUGAAGGGGUAUGCCAUAUCCGAGGGUACCAUUUGACAUACAAACAUUUCUUCAACAUAGAGGGAUAUGCCGUAUCGGAGUACCAUUUGACAUAAAACCAUUAACAUAGAGGGAUAUGCUAUACCGGAGUACCAUUUGACAUACAAACAUUAACAUGAAUCGAAACUUAUAACUUAACACGAUUAAACGCAUUGCACCUCUACCUACUUUGAUUGAUACUUUUGAAACUUUGAAAACUUCGAUGAAACUUGGACGUUGAAAGAAAUGCACUCCAUGGAUGUUUGAAAACUUUUAAGAAUUGAUGCUUGAAGACACUCCUUGAUAGCACCCAAAACUUUUAUGAAAAAUGCUUGAAAACACUUCUUAAACUUCUCGGAAAAAUAGUUUUCCUCCCUCUCUUUUUCUCUCUUGGAAACUCUUUCUUUAGUAUGUAAAAGCUCUUGCUUUUUAUGUGAGAAAAAAUGAAUGAAAUGAGGUCUCUAUUUAUAGGUAAAUAUCCCAUAACUUAAAGCAAAUAAAGGGUCAAAUUUCAUUUAAGAGAGAAAACAUGGGUGCCAUUUAAGUUUGAGGUUAAAUGCUUCAAUUUAGUGGGUUUUUAUUGCCAAAAAUUUGGGUGGCCCUUUGAGAAAAUAAUUGAUGAAAAUAAAUAUUUAAAUUCUAGAGAAAAACGAGAAUUUUCAUUUCCGGUAGUUUCGGUCGACCGGUUGUAGUCCGGUUGACACUGUACAACUUUCAGUGUUUUUAUCAUAACUUCUUCUCCUGAUAUCCGAUUGAGGUAAUUCAAAGUGCAUCAGAAAGAAAACUCAAAGAGCUAUAACUUUUAUUUAGAUAUCAUUUUCCAAAUGAAAUGUUUCCUAUGUCGAAAAUGGGUCUCAAAUGAGACUAAAAAUCUGAAGUUUACUUUAGUCAUCCAAUAUUCAUGUCUUAGUGCCACUAAGGUGUCUAAAAUUAUUUGGGGUUCUACAGAUGUAAUAUAAAUCAUCGUAGGUCCGAUAGGGGAUAAAAAUAUACCGCUAUGCCUUACGUGAAUCUUUUAGUGUUCAUAAAACCGCAUGUAUUUUUACAUAUGCACUUGUCAUAGAAAUAUAGAUCGGUGGUAUGUAGAAAUAGGUUCGAUACAUCUCGAGAGAGAAUAUUGGAUAGAUUUAGGAACAUUGAUUCGUCACAAUUGAAAUAUGUUCACAUUGUGAAACUAGGGUUUUAAAGGCAUAAUUGCAUGAGAAAUCGUGAUCCUAGUGUUUAAUUUCUAUUGAUUACAACAAACUUGCAUUCUCAAUAUUUGAUUUCAUUUUAGAGUGUUAAAAAUAUUUUUUUACAUAGUUAAUUUAAUUCAAUCAUAAAAUAAAAAUUGUAUAAUUAGGGUUUUCUUUCCAAAAUUAGGGUUUUAAUUAGGUUUACAUUCACUUUAAUAAUUUAGUUUCGAUUAAGGCGACGAUAGGUAAAAUUGAACUAAUCAAUCUCUGUGGGACGAUAUUCAGACUCAUUUAAUCCACUUUAUUACUUGUUAACAAAUCGUACACUUGUGAUAGUUUUAAAUCAAAAGAAAUAAUUUCGUGAACAAGUUUUUGGCACCGCUGUCGGGGAUUGAGUUUAGUUUAAUUUUAUUUCUCGAGACUCUAAUUCGAACUUCAAAUUUUAUUUUGCUAGUAUAAUUUUGUUUUUAUUUUUACUUUAGGUUAUUAUCCUUUAUUUGUGUUUUAGUUAUUUAAAUUGUUUGAAUCUCAGUGCUCGUAGUGGUUUUGUUUCUCAGAUUUGCAUGCCACGAUCGACUAGAGGAGAAUUGAUUCUAGCUGAUUCUGAAAUCGAGCGCACCUUUCAUCGACUACAAAGAGAUCAUCGAGAAGCACAAGUACAAAUGGCUAAUGAACUAAACAAUCUCAUUAUUCAAGCUAAUGAAGGAGAGGCAAUGUACGGAGGAAAUGAGAUUCUGGGAGAUUUUUUGACUCCUCAAGUAAUUCAAAGUCAAUCCAGUAUAGUGUAUCCACCGUUUGGCCAGCCAAAUUUCUAGUUGAAGACCAAUGUGAUACAACUAUUUCAAGAUGGACACCAGUUUUAUGGCAAAGCCGAGGAGAAUCCACAUACACACAUAUCGCGAUUUUUGGAUAUGUGUCAACAUUUCAGAUACCAAGGGAUUUCAGAUGACACUAUUAGGCUAAGGCUGUUUCCACAUACACUACGAGAUAGAGCACUUAAAUAGUUGGAUUCACUUCCGGUUACAAGUGUCACUACGUGGAACGUGUUGGCACACAAAUUCUGCACAAAGUUUUUCUCCCCAGCCAAGAUAGUGAAGCUGAAAAUGACAUAUCAAUAUUCAGUCAAGGAGAAACCAAAUCAUUUGAUGAAGCUUGGAACAGAUUCAAAAACAUGCUCCGGAUGUGCCCUCAACAUGGGUUUGAUAAAAAGACCCAAAUCCGAUUCUUCUACAUAGGGUUACUUCCAUACCACAAGAGCAUGGUAGAUUCAGCGUCAGAUGACUCAAUAUCCACAUGAACAGUUGAUGGGGCAUUGGAAUUAUUUGAGAGAAUGGCUACCACAUCAUCCAUAUGGUCUUCUGGGAGGGUGAUUCCAAGGAAAACUCCGGGUGUCUACGAGGUGGAUACUUAUUUAGCAAUAUCUGCAAAAAUUGAUUCUUUGUAUCACAAUGUAGAAAGCAUAUCACAAGCAGACUAUGCACAGUGGGGACAACGCCAACAACACAAUCAAUAUGGAGAAUCUUUCCAUCCCAGUUGGAAGAAGCAUCCUAACUUCUCUUGGAGCAACCAGAAUCAAAAUAGGCUCCCGGGACAAUUUCAGCAAUAAGAGAAGAGGCCUCAAUUGGAAGAUAUGAUAGGAAAAUUCAUGGAGAAAGCUGAAGCUACACUUCAAAAUCAAAAUGCAGCCAUCAAAAAUUUGGAAACUUAGAUGGGGCAAUUGGCCAUCGUAUUGACUGGUAGAACGUCAGGUAACUUGUCGAGUAAUAUAGAAAUCAAUCCCAAAGAGCAAUCCAAGGCCAUUACAACUCGAAAUGGAGUACAAUUGCCUGAAAUCCAUGUUAAGAGACCGGGUGUGAUUGGAGAGACAUCUUCCCCUACUGAAGAGGAGACCGUUGUAAAAGAAUCAACUCCAAAGGAAAAUUCAGAAAAGUUACAAGAUAAGGCCAAAGACACAGUCAACCCAUACGAGCCUUCGAUUUCCUUUCCAUAGCGGUUGAAGAAGCAAAAAUUGGAGCAAUAGUACAAAAAAUUCCUAGAAGUCUUCAAAAAGCUCCAUAUCAACAUCCCACUAGUCGAUGUACUAUUCCAGAUGUCUAGCUAUGCAAAGUUUCUCAAAGAUAUUAUAUCAAACAAACGCAAGCUGGAGCACCAUGAGAUAGUAAUGCUUACGAAGGAAUGGAGUGCCAGAAUCCAGAAAAAGCUCCUACCAAAACUGAAAGAUCCAGGGAGUUUUACUGUUCCUUGCACUAUUGAUGAAGUCUAUUUCGAUAAAGCAUUAUGUGAACUCAGUGCAAGUAUUAAUUUAAUGCCUCUGUCUGUUUUUAGAAAACUUAGCUUGGGAGAAGCUAAAGCGACUAUUGUGACACUUCAGCUGGCAGACAGGUCACUGACACAUUCCAGAGGGAUAAUUGAAGAUGUACUUUUCAAGGUUGAAAAGUUCAUAUUCCCAGUGGAUUUUUUUAUUUUGGACAUGGAAGAAAACAAGGAUAUCCCAUUGAUACUUGACAGACCAUUUCUGGCAAUAGGGAGAGCGUUAAUUGAUGUUCAAAGGGGGCAGUUGAUCUUAAAAUUGGGAAAGGAGCAGAUAUCGUUUAAUGUAUUCAAGGCUAUGAAACUACUAGCAGAAUCAGAUAGAUGUUACCAAGUUGACAUCAUUGACAAGGUAGUACAAGAAACAUUCUUACUUCACGACCCAUCUGAUGCCUAUGAGGCAUGCAUUAUACAAUCCCAAUCCGUUCAAUCAGAUUCUUUUGAAGUUGAAACAUGUGCGAGAUUUUUGGAGACCAACCCACCAUACACCCGAAAAGAGCAAUUUGAGGAACUGGGGAUGAGAAAUACAAAGCCACUGUCUUUCAUUCAGUAACCACCAGUUUUAGAACUCAAGCAACUACCGCCACAUCUCAGAUAUGCAUAUUUGGGGGAGUCAGAUACACUUCCAGUAAUCAUUUCAAACACAGUCAGUGAGUUGGAGGAAGAAAAAUUGCUCAGGGUACUCAAAGGGAACAAGACAACGAUUGGGUAGACAAUAGCUGACAUUAAAGGGAUUGGCCCUUCUAUGUAUAUGCAUAAAAUUCUAAUGGAAUAAAAUUGAAAGCCAAGAUAGAGGGUCAGAGAAGAUUGAAUCCUAACAUGAAGGAAGUAGUCAGGGUAGAGAUACUAAAAUUAUUGGAUGCAUGAAUUAUCUACCCAAUUUUAGGUAAUACAUGGAUCAAUCCAGUUCAAGUGGUGCCCAAAAAAGGGGAAUCACAGUGGUGAAAAAUGAGAAGAAUGAAUUAAUUCCCACCAGAAUAGUUACGGGAUGUAGAGUUUACAUCGAUUAUUACAAGCUCAAUGCAGCUACACAAAAGGAUCACUUCUCAUUCCCAUUCAUUGAUCAGAUGUUGGAGAGGUUGGCUGGAUAUUCACACUACUGCUUCCUUGAUGGAUACUCAGGCUACAAUCAAAUACCUAUCGCACUAGAUGAUCAGAAGAAGACCACUUUCACUUGCCCCUAUGGUACUUUUGCUUAUCGUAGGAUGCCUUUUGGUCUUUGCAAUGCUCCAGCCACAUUUCAGAGGUGUAUGAUGACAAUAUUCUCUAAUAUAAUUGAAAGGUUUAUUGAGGUUUUCACGGACGACUUCUCAGUGUUUGGAUCUUCAUUCGAUGAAUGUCUAGAACACCUAAAUUCGAUCUUACAGAGUUAUGAAGAGACUAACCUGGUUUUAAAUUGGGAGAAAUGCCACUUUAUGGUGUAAGAAGGCAUUGUACUCAAGCAUCGGAUCUCGGGAAAAGGAAUUGAGGUGGACAAGGUAAAAAUUCAAGUUAUUGAGAAGUUACCAUCGCCUACAAGGAGUUCGCAGCUUCUUGGGGCAUGCGGGGUUCUACAGGAUAUUUAUAAAAGAUUUCUCAAAGAUCACUAAGUCAUUAUGCAAUCUGCUAAUGAAGGAUAUAACCUUUGAGUUUAAUGAGGAAUGUCUCACAGCAUUCAACACAUUAAAGGAGAAGCUCACGUCAGUACCAGUAAUUGUGGCACCAGACUGGGAACUGUCUUUUGAAUUGAUGUAUGAUGCCAGUGAUCACACCGUGGGUGCAGUAUUAGAACAGUGGAGGAACAAGAUUUUUCAUUUGAUCUACUAUGCAAGUAGAACUCUAAAUGAUGCACAAAUCAAUUAUGCCACCACUGAAAAGGAGAUGUUGGUCGUGGUAUAUGCAUUCGACAAAUUCAGAUCAUACCUUGUCGGGUGUAAAGUCAUCAUCUACACAGAUCAUGCUGCAUUGAAGUAUUUGCUCACAAAGAAGGAUGUAAAACUGAGAUUGAUUCGUUGGGUGCUGUUGCUGUAAGAAUUUGAUAUCAAGAUAUGAGACAAGAAGGGCAGUGAGAACGUAUUAGCAGACCACCUAUCCCGAUUAGAGCUUGGGGAGACGGAAGAAUUAGUGGACAUCAAUUAGAUCUUCCCAGAUGAGCAGAUGUUGAGAAUAGAUGAAGCACCUUGGUACACAAAUAACGUCAAUUACUUGGCCAAUUCCAUCCCACCGCCAGACUACUCAAGUCACCAGAGGAAAAAGUUCUUCGUCGAAUUGAAGUAUUAUUUCUGGGAAGAUCCAAUUCUCUAUAGAUGAAGGGCUGAUCAGAUAGUAAGGAGAUGCAUACUUGAGGAAGAAGUACAUGAGAUUCUCAAGCACUACCACUCAUCUGCAUAUGCAGGGCACUUUGGGGCUUCGAAAACAGCUGCAAAGAUUCUACAAUCAGGGUUCUACUGGCCUACACUAUUUAGAGAUGCCUUUGAGUUUGUCAAGAGGUGUGACAGAUGUCAACGCACUGGAAAUAUCUCGAGGAGGAAUGAAUGCCACUGAAUAACAUUUUGGAAGUGGAGAUAUUCGAUGUUUGGGGAAUUGACUUCAUGGGACCUUUUCCCCAUUUAUUCUCAAAUCAGUACAUCUUGAUAGCAGUGAACUAUCUAUCAAAAUGGGUAAAAACAGUUGUACUACCAACAAAUAACUCAAAGGUAGUAAUUAGGUUCUUGAAGAAAUAUAUUUUUACCCGAUAUGGUACACCGCGAGCUAUAAUCAAUGAUCGGGGCAAACACUUCUGUAAUCGUCAGUUUGAGCAGUUGUUGAAUAAAUAUGGUGUUAAACAUCAUGUUGCUACCCCAUAUCAUCCACAAACCAGCGGGCAAGUUGAAGUAUCUAAUCGGCAGCUGAAGAGAAUACUCGAGGUCACAACUCAUCUAGAAAGGACUAGUCUAAAAAGCUGGACGAUGCAUUUUGGGCUUACAAGACAGCAUUCAAGACACCGAUAGGCAUGUCUCCAUACCACCUAGUUUUGGGAAAAGCGUGCCAUUUGCCACUAGAAAUGGAGCACCAGGCAUAUUGGGCUAUGAAACAGUUAAAUAUGGACUUGAGUGCCGCUGGUGAAAAGCGCCUACUGCAACUUAAUGAGUUAGAUGAAUUUAGCAUAGAAGCUUAUGAAAAUUCAAAACUCUAUAGGGAACAAACCAAGAAGUGGCAUGACAUGCAUAUUUAGAGGCGAGAAUUCGAAGUGGGUAGCAAGUACUAUUGUAUAAUUCGAGACUCAAGCCGUUCCCUGGAAAACUACGAUCAUGGUGGUCGGGUCCUUACACUGUCACAAAAGUCCUACCAUAUGGGGCUAUACAAGUCAGCCAUGAGACUAAUGGUACUUUCACUGUUAAUGGGCAAAGGCUGAAACACUACUGGGGCGGUGACUUCUCCAACCAAAAGUUCACCAUUAACUCGGGACGUCAGAAUAAAGCAGCUGUAGAAUAGUCGAGCCAUCGACUAUAACCCAGUGCUGGGUGGAAAGCAACCCACUGUAUCUUUCGAUUUAUUUUACUUUUCACAUUAUUUUAGGAGUUGUUUAAUUUUUGCAUUUGCAUUUUUUUUUGCUAGGUCAUCAAUCUUUCACGCAUACUAGUCUAAGCAUUACACACAUAAGGUGGCAUGAGUGAAGUUGAUUGAAGUUGUUUUGGGGGAUUGAGUGUGAAGUCAUGCAUUUCGAUGCACAAAGUCAUUCUUCAUAAAAAUUUUCAGAAUGCAUUUUAAGUUUAUUCCAUAAAUUGGUGUUGGUGCUAAGUCCUUCAGCAAGCACAUAUCCCAUUGAAUCGGAAGUUUCUAAAUUUUUCAGGAAUGAUAUUAAACAAGUCAAAUUUUUAAUUGAAAACCAACUUCGGGGAAAAUUUUAUUUAAGGUGUGUUUUGGGGGUUAAAAUUGUAAUUUUGAUUUUUUUUCAUAAUUUAGAUUUUGAAGAAAAAAAUGUUUGUCUAUGCGACCGCAUAGACAAAUGGUCUAUGCGGUCGCAUAGACCAUUACCGAAAGCAAAGUGGUCCCCAUAUUGUUGUACUAUGCGACCGCAUAGUGCAACACUAAUAGUGACCCAGUUACAGGUCUUAAACCCGUAACCCACCUAUUCCACACUACUUCCUCCCAUCACCCUCGUAAUUUCACAGUCCAUUGUUAUUAUUGACUAAUUGUUGCAUGACGCAUGCUUGAUGAGUGAGUGUUGAUUAUACUUUUGCAUACUUGUGUGGGCUUGAUAGCCUUACCGGCUAUGAUGUGAUUCUUGGAUUGGUAUAAUUUAUAAACUUUGGAUAUUGUGCUGCAUAGAUUAACCAAUACUUGGGAUGUAAUACUUGACAUUCUCUAUGCAUGCUUGACAUAUUAGGUGAAUGACUGGAUUUUGAGCAUAAAGUAGGAAAAGAAUGAUAACCCUCUAUUGAAUUAACACGUAAAUCACCUUAAGAUAGUUUGAAAUUGGUUUAGCUAUUAUAGGGAGUAUUGAGAUAAGUGGAGGCUCCGUGCAUGAAAUUUUAUUGUGUGGAUUGCCUAGACCAGUGAGGUGAAGUUUAGGUGAAAAUAUUAAAUUGGGGGUUGGUUUUGGAAACUAAAUAUCUAGAACAAUAACGGCGUAAAAUUAAUUUGUGAGAAUAAGACACUUCUUUUCAUGCCUUUAUGACUUGAGCAAGUAAGCCUGUAAGGAUAUUUCAAAAUCUGGUCCCCUAAGUUAACUGACCUAGGAGUCACCAGCCUAAAACUCGCUAAACGGGUCAUAUAGAAAGCAAGAGGGAAAAAAGUUAAUAAAAAGUCAUCUAAACAAGCCUUUAUAACUCGAGUGAAUAAGCCUGUAAGGGUUUAAAACUUGGUGCCCUAAAGCUAACUGGUUUGGGAGUCACCGGCCUAAAGCUCGUUACAUGGGUUAUAUAGAAAGCAAAUGAGAAGAUGAUAAUAAAAAAUUAAAAAAAAAUGGAAAGUGAGAAAAACAAAAGAGAGACAAUAACAUGAAGAAAAAGCCCUUAGACAUUUGGUUGAGGAAACUAUACCUUCGAGGCGAGGCAAGUAAUCUAUUUUAAUCUUGAUUUUCAAAGCAAUCAAAUUUGGGAGAGCCUUCACUUGUUGACAUGUAAACUUGUGAUAGUGAGAUUAAUCCAAACUACGAGAGGGUAAAGAUUACAUCUAUGUAAACUCCUAAUUUUAAAACACAACCCCGGAAUAAUUGAGUGAAAGGAAUAAGUUUGGGGAGUUGUGUAUCUCCCGAGCGAGUAAGGAUACAUUUGACCACUAGGGGUCGGGACUCAACCCAUCAUGAAUUUGAUAUGUUGGCAUGAAUUCACACACUCACAUCAAGUAUACAUUUAACAUGUAAAGGUUGAUGUCAUUUUUGCAUUGAUAAAUUUUCAUAAAGUCAAAUACUUAGUCAAAUCCUGAGUCACGAUAGGGUAUUAAGUCAUGUUUGUUCAGAAUUAAGUCACCAUCUUGUUUGAGAACAAAUAAUAGUUCAAGUUUGGGGGGUUUGAUAAGUGUGUUUUUGCACACUUAUUUAGAUCACAAACAUGACUUAAUUACAAGCAAAAUGUUUGAAUUGUAACUUAAUCUCGUUGAAUUCAUGUAAUGUAGGUAUUUCUAUGGAAAUGGUGGAAUUCAGGAGAAAAGAGCCGAAAAAGGACUAAAAUGGAGUAAAGUGAUAGUUCAGGGACUAAGGAUGCAAAUAUUCAAAAGUUGAGCUAAAACGCAACCCGGGAAUGCAAAUAGGUUAAGAAUGAACUCGAAAGCGAUACAAGAUGAUUGGAAUAAGAAGGAAAGGGACUAAAAUAAAGAAAAAUGAAAGUUCAAGGACCAAAAUAGACAUUUUGCAUAGUUGGCAGCACUGUGCGACUGCAUAGUGCUACCCUCUACGUGGUCGCAUAGAGGCUUCCCAAGAAUUUUUUCUCAAAUUUUUUUUACUCUAUGCGACCAUUUAGAAAUGUACAAUGCGGUCGCAUAGAAGAAGUUCUGGGGCCGAUUCUGCAUUUUCCUUAUACGAUUGAAACUCUUUUGGUAACCUAAUUUUCACGCGAUAUAAAUACCAAAAGACAUCCGGAAAGAAGCAGAAUGUAUUGAAGGCAGAAAAACACUUCUUGGAGAGGAUUUUGAGCACAAGAACGAAGAUUUACACAAAGAGCUUCAAGAUUUCUCAAGAUUUCAUAACCCGGUGAUGCCUUUUAUCCAAAAUCUGAUGUAUUCUUUUAUUUUAACCAUUUUAGGCUAGAUUUUCAUGUGCUAGGUGAUCGAUGUUUCAUGUAAUUUGAUCUUUAAUUUUCUAUUUUUGCGAUUUGAUAUUAAAACAUAUUUAUAUUAUUUUGAAUGAUUUAUAUGCAAUUAUUGUUUCCACAAUUAAGGGCCCGUAAUUGUGUGAGUUUGGGUGAUUUAUUCUUGCAUUCGAGAGAAUUGAAAUAUGUUCGAUAUAAUAUAAAUCAUCAUAGGGUCCGAUAGGGAAUAAAAAUAUACCGCUAUGCCCUGUGUGAAUCUUUAAGUGUUCAUAAAACCGCAUGCAUUUUUACAUAUGCACUUGUCAUAUAAAUAUAGGCCAGUGGUAUAUAGAAAUAGGUUCGAUACAUCUCGAGAGAGAGUAUUGGAUAGACAUAGGAACAUUGAUUCGUCACAAUUAAAGUGUGUUGUCACAUUGUGAAACUAUGGUUUUAAAGUGAUAAUUGCAUGGAAAAUCGUGAUCCUAGCGUGUUUAAUUUCUAUUGAUUACAACAAACGUACAUUAUCAAUAUUUGAUUUCAUUUUAGAGUGUUAAAAAUAUUGUUUUGCAUAUUUAAUUUAAUUCAAUCAUAAAAAUUGCAUAAUUAGGGUUAUUUCUUUCUAAAAUUAGGGUUUUAAUUAGUUUCACAUUCACUUUAAUAAUUUAGCUUCGGUUAAGACAACGAUAGGUAAAAUUGAACUAAUCAAUCUCUGUCGGACGAUAUUCAGACUCAUUUAAUCCACUUUAUUACUUGUUAACGAACCGUACACUUGCGGUAGUUUUAAAUAGAAAGAAAUAAUUUCGUGAACAUUGCCUAAAUUUUCUUUGCUCAUGUUUUAUACCCAAUAUUGAGCAAGACCAAGCUAAACAAUAGGUAUGUUUUUCUUUCUAAUGAGUGACAUUGCACUACUUUGACAGGGCUGUUUUUCUUGGGAAGCAAUGUGCAAUAUGCUGAAGCCCAAAAGAAAGUUCGCCCAAAAAAUUGCCUCAAAAUUGGGUACAUGACUUGCCCAAAAUCUGGUUCAAGGAGGCUUCAUCCAGGCUGCACAAACUGUUGCAAAAUCAAGAAGGGUUGCAAACUUUAUCGACCUAAUGGAAGCCUUAUUUGUACUGGAAAGUAAUUUGGAUAUGAGAUAAAUCUUGAAUAAACUAUCAUAUGUUUGUACUACAAACAUGCAAAAUAAAUAAAUGAAUCUGCUAUGUUUAUGUGAAAUGAAAUACAAGAUUCAGGUUUAAUUAUAUUGUUGGAUGUUGUUUCUAUGAAAUUAUCUUUUACAUAAUUACUUCUCUAAAUUUAUUGGGUGAGACUUAGAUGUUGUAUACUCUUAUAUUGAUCUACGAUAGCAAAGAGUUGCUGUGGAAACAGUAUAUACCAUAAAAUAAAUGGGGACACUAUAAAAAUUGAGUCGGAAUAAGAGAUUAUGCACCUAUAGAUCUCUUGAAGAUAAAAUUUCCCCUGGCACAUAGAGGUAUGGAGAAUAUACAUUGUAGAAAAGAGAAUAAACAUCCAAAACAGUAACGAAAAAAUUACAAAAUGAUUUAUUUAUUUAUUUAUUUUUUUAAGUUGCAAAAUGAUAAGAAGCUAAUAACUGUAACUAUAACGGAUAAAAAAAAUUAUUGUAAGAUGCAAAAUAGUAAUUAAUAUCAAAAACUGUUUUACUUGAUAUCUUAUUUUAUUCGUCAAACAAAAUUCGUUAAUAUAAUUAAGCAUUUCCAUUUAUCUAUUCACAAUGUCUGGAAAAAAUCAAAGUAAUAGAGAUUUUUCUAUAUUUUUCAAUACAUAAAUAAAUUACUAAAAUUGUUUUUGUUCAUUGAAAAACUGGAGCUCAAGGAGAAUGGAGAUAAUAAAUUGUAUAUAUCUCACAAAAAAGAAGACCAUAUUAUGAAGAAAAUUUAUUUAAAUAAUAUAUUACGGCUUCUAAUAAAUUAAAUUUAAUAAUAAUAUAUAUAAUAGUUAAAACAGACAUGAUGUAAAAAUAAGUAAUAUAUAGUGUGAUCAUUUUGAACAAGGGUGCGUUCAGCUGUUUAUGAUGACAAAUUUGUUGACUUUUCUAUUCCUUUUCAAUGAUAAUGGUUUCUUUUGUUACAAAAAGUAGAAAGUGUUACGAUAUUAAAGUGUGAAUACACGACAAACACAUGGUAUUUAUAAAGCGGUGUGCUAAAAAUAAUUUGUCAGCCGUUUCUAUGUAUAUGUGAUCAUUUGAAGCUCUCCAUGGAGAAUUGCGAAGUUUAUUCCUAAAAGGGUUGGUGAGAGAAAAGGAAAUAAACACUACAAUUUGUUGACCAAUGUAAAAAUAAUAAUAAAAAUAAGUUCCACGAACUCCAUUGUAGAAAAGAUAAGUAUUGCGACUUUUGUACAAUCAGUAAAUCUAUCAAUUGUUGAACAAGUUAUAUGGAGGCACAAAAAAUGAGUCCUAAGUUCAAAUUCCCACUAUUAUAUCAUAAAUAAAUAAACAAAGUAUUAUAUUCCUUAAACCAAUCAAGUAUAAUUAAAUCCGCAAUAUCAAUACGCAAUAGUAAUUUAAUUUUUUCUUGUACAAGUUCGAGAAAAUAUAGCAAGUUGUAGACAGACUUGCGCUCUCCUACUUUUUUUUUUUAACAUUGAAGUACAACUUGGUGUUGGACUAAUGAGUUACAGAUCAAGAGUGCAAGUUUCCCAACUAUUUACUAGUAUGAGAAAUUAAUUUGUUUGAACAAUUCAUACACUGGAGUAUUAUCAUUUUUUAUCGUCUUAUGGUCUAAAUUUUAGCUAGGGUUUCUCAUUUAUUCAUGAUAUAAGAAUAAAUUGAAGAUCAAAUCUAAGUCCUCUUUGAUUUAGGAUCCAACAAGCAUUUUGUUACGUUACUUAAAAUUAGGAGUUCAUGUUUCCAGAUUUUGUUAAUUUCUUGAUUUUAAAAAAGUUUGCUUCCAUAAUUGAUAUUCUAAAAAUUUAUUUAACUAAAGCAUCUCCACCGCUAAAAUGGUUGUCACAUAAACUAAAAUCGAUAAUUUCUACAAAAGUACAUCUCUAAUAUAGAAUAUCAAGAACUAUGUCUAGCUGACGUAACAAUAGAAGUAGAUAGGUGCAUACGGUCACCACAAUUUAAUAUUUCUAUGUCUUUAUUUCUCUCUACUUUUUCCUAUUUUUCUGUCAUUAUUUUAUUUUCUCUCCUAUGAUAUAUACUUUAGUGAUGAAAUUUGAUUAUGGAAAAAAAUCAUUAAAGAUGAAAUUUGCACGAGGUCAUCUAUUCAUUAGAUCUUAAUGUCCCAUAUAUGGAAAACCAUUCUAUGUCACCCUAAUGACAAUCCAUGAAUAAAUUAGAGAACCUCUAAGAUUCCUUACUGUUCGCAAAAAUUACUGAAUUAGCAUUUUCAAUCUAUUGCAAUCUUCUGGAGGCAAGUAUAAGUGGACUGUAAAUGCUUCAAGGAUUGCGCACUCAAGUGUCUGCUAAAUUUUUUAUAGAAUUCUUUCUGGAGCAUUUCUUUUGUUCCUUGUUUUCUUGUCAUAUCUCUUCAAUCAUGAAUUGAACAUAAAGUAUGCAAAAAAUAUGCACCCUCAAUAACUAUACUAUCAAGAUGACUUUCGAAUUCUGAUGUUCGUUGCCAUAAAUAAGCGUAAAUUACACUUAUCACCAAACUCUCAAUAUAUUCUACUUAUUCUCAAGUUUUUGUUAAAUAUUCCUUAAUAACCGAAUGUGAGUCAAUUCAUAAUUAAAACGUUAAAAGGGUGACUUUAAUCCAUGUAUUUUACUUAAUUAAUUCACUUUAUCAAAAUAAUAAUAAUAAUAAUAAUAAUAAUAAUAAUUCCUUUUCCUACACUUGAUUAGGUAUAUCACGUGAACUUUAAUAAUCUUUAAUGUUGUGAAUUAACAUGUAUUUGUAAGUUUGAAUUGGUUUUUGCUUACGGACCAUGCGUGGACUUUCUCUUUACAUAUAAAAAAGUCAUCACCUAAUAAUACUACUUUUACCCUAUAAACAACUAAAAAUAAUAUGUACUAUGUUGGGUUUUUGACCCAAAUUAGAGUGGAUUUUUUUUGAAAAUAAAUUAUUUCCUUAUUUUUAUAUGGGAAAAUUUGUUUCCUUGUAUUUCACGUGAGUUUUAUGGAAAUAUAUUAUUUCCUUAUUCCACAUUAUUUCGAUCUUUAUGCUAUGCCAUGUACUUAUAAAUAGUAGUAUCCUCUUUUAGUUUAGUAGAAGCCAAAUUGCUUGGUCGUUGUAUUGUCUCCAUAUUGUCAAUUAAUAAUACAUCUUGCCUCUGCGUUAAUUCUUCCUUUUUUUCCUUUACUUUAUACCUUGAUAUAUAUUUUUAUAUUGUUGCAAUCCAUAUUAACUUCAUAUCGCAUCAUUAACUUCAUUCUUUACAACCCGUCGAUCCCAACAAGUGGUAUCAGAGUUGGGGUCUUCUGUGGAUUGGUUGAAGUUUUUCAGAGAUGGUUGCCAUGAAGUUUGAUAUUUCCCUGCUCGAUUGCAAUACAAGAUUUUUGUCGUGGCAAGUAAAGAUGAGGGUUAUUUUGGUGCAGUUAGAUUUGGACGAUGUGUUGCUGGGUUUUGAGAAGAGCCAGCUAAUUGGACAACGGAGGAGAAACAACGAAAGGAUCAGAAGGCUUUUUCAUUGAUUCAUCUUCAUCUAUCCAACAAUAUUAUGCAUGAUGUCUUAAAAGAGAAAACGACUGCUACUUUAUGGUUGAAACUAGAGCAGUUGUGCAUGACAAAGAGUCUUACUAGCAAACUGGCUCUAAAGCAAAAGUUGUAUUCCCAACACAUGGCAGAAGGAAGGUCGUUGGAAGACCAUAUUGCCCUGUUCAAGGAAAUUAUCGCAGAUUUGGAGAUGUUGGAGGUUAAAUAUGAUGAAGAGGAUCUGGCCUUGAUCCUAUUAUGUUUGCUACCGGACUCUUAUGCAUGGUUUCAGGACACCACAUUGUACAGUCGGGAUACAUUGACGAUAGACGAUGUCUAUAAUCAUUGCACUCAAAGGAGAAGUUGAAGCAUUUGAUUGGUGAUACAUCAAGUGAUGGGAAAGCUCUUGUAUCUCAUGGUGGUCGAUGGAGGGGCAGAUUUAGGGAGAGAAGCAAUGUGUAUUGCUUCUACUGCAGAUGGAGAGGACACUUGAAGAAUGAUUGUGAGAAGUUGUAGGCUAAAGGCGAUUUAGCUGCAAAACAUAGGGGGUAAUCAUGGAAUUUCGGACGAGACUAAUGUGACCGAGGAUUUUUUAGAUGGCGGAGAUGUGAUGUUGACUGUGGUUUCUGACGUGGAAUCUAAGCCUGACGAGGAAUGGAUUCUUGAUUCGGCAUGUUCGCACCAUAUGUGUUUCAAUAGGAAUUUAUUUCAAACAUAUGAGGUUGUUCAGUAAGGUGAAGUUGUAAUGGGGAACAACAAGUCUUGCCCUAUUGCUGGAAUCGGUCGAGUUAGAUUGUGGUUGCCGGAUGGGAUGGUUAGAACACUUGGCCAAGUUCGAAAUGUUCCAGACCUAAAGAGAAAUCUCAUCUCGCUAAGUACCUUGGAUGCAAAAGGUAUAAAUUCUUUGGUGGAGGUGGAGUCUUGAAGGUUCGAAGAGGUGUCCAGGUUAUAAUGGAGGAACGGAAGAGAUCCCAGUUGUACAUAUUGCAGGGAAGCACAAAACUAGUUUUGAGACAUUAGGACAAGUUCAGUACCAUGGUGGAUAUACAGAUUGGUGCAGUAACUCUUGUGAUCGGCUCUAGAUCAGUUCAGAAUACUGCUAAGGAGAGCGUUGGUGAUUUCGCUUUGCUACCAAUUUCAGCGGAUGCACUGUGUUCAAAUGUCAGGGGUGGACUCAUGGAGCAUAGGUACGGUGGUGUUAUUGAUAUCUAUGAUGCUUUUGGGAUCGUUGAAGGUGACAGUUCUGACAAAGGGUCUUCUGAUCAAGCACUUGGUUUGGUGUCUGCUACAGGGUGUGCUUUGACCUUGUUUGGCCAACAGUAAUUCCUUGGUAGAAUUUUGGGAACUCGGAUUUGGGUUUAGGUGUCGCUUGUAGAUGCCUUGCAGAGGAAGAUGGUUUAGUUAGGAGAGUUUUGAUUACUAUGUUGAGGAGAUUGGCUAUUUCGAUGCAAAUGGAUUUGAAAUCUUGGAAUUUCGUUCGUUGCACCGAAAUUUGGGUCACGGUGGAGAUUGUUGGGUUUUUUACCCAAAUUAGAGUGGAUUUUUUUUUGGAAAUAAAUUAUUUCCUUAUUUUUAUAUGGGAAAAUUCGUUUUCUUAUAUUUCACGUGAGUUUUAUGAAAAUAUAUUAUUUCCUUAUUCCACAUUAUUUCUAUUUUUAUGCUAUGACAUGUACCUAUAAAUAGUGGUAUCCUCUUUCAGUUUAGUAGAAGCCAAAUUGCUGUGUCAUUGUAUUGUCUCCACAUUGUUAAUUAAUAAUACAUCUUGCCUCUGCGUUUAACUCUCUUUUCUUCUUUACUUUAAACCUUGAAAUACAUUAUUAUAUUGUUGCAAUCCAUAUUAACUUCUUAUCGCGUCAUUAACUACAUUCUUUACAACCCCUCUGUCCCAACAUACUAAGCAUAAUUCAGGAAGCAUGGCUAAUAUCAAAGUUAGCAUCCUUACUCUCCUCCUAAUCUGCGGUAUGGUUACUGAUCUGUGCACUUUUUUGUAACUUAUAUUGGCUGAAUUUUGACACUUCUAUGAUGGCCAAGUAUUUUAUCAUUGUGAAACAAUAUUGCAAAAAUACUGUAAUUUAGAUCUUAUGAUAUUAGUUAAGCAGUCAUCUGCUGCCCAUUGGUUAAUAUUGUGUGUUUUGAUAAAGAGAAGCAUUGAAGAAGUUGCUUGUGCAUAUAAAGUAUUAAGGUUUUAGAUAAAUUUGUACAUGCAUGCAGUUGAAUUUAUUGAUCAUUUUCUUUCUAGACAUUUUUCCUUCAUUAUUAAGUUUUUCCACGGCUAAAUUAAUCUUUUCUUCAUAUGUUUGUGGGAUCUAUAGCGAUGUUGCAAUACUAUAAGUUAUGCCAUCAUGUUGUAGCGUGACAUAUACAUGAUUUUAUCUUAACUGCGUAUUGAAUUUUCUCGAAAUUUUCUUUGAUCAUACUUUAUACGCAAUACUAGACAAGACUGAGCUAAACAAUAGGUUUGAUUUCAAUAUUAUGUUUUCUUUCUAUGGCAGGAUUGUUUUUCUUGGGAAGCAAAGUGCAAUAUGCUGAAGCCCAAAGGAAAUUUUGCCCACAAGUUCGCCUCAAAGUUGGCUACAUGACUUGCCCAAAGUCUGGUCCUAAGAGGUUUCAUCCAGGUUGUACAAAUUGUUGCAAAGUAAAGCGAGGCUGCAAACUUUACAGAUCUAAUGGAAGCCUAAUUUGUACUGGAAAGUAAUUGGAUAUGAGAUAAAUUUUAAAUAAACUGUCGUGUGCUUAUGCUAUAAACAGGCAAAGUAAAUAAAUGAAUCUCUUAUGUUUCUGAGAAAUAAAUACAAGAUUCAGGUUUAAUUGUAUUGAUGGACGUUUUUUCUAUGAAAUUAUCCUUUACAUAAUUACUUCUCUAAGUUUUUUGGGUGAGACUUAGUUGUUGUAUAAUCUUUUAUUCAUCUACUAGCCACCCAC
rnacentral:lncRNA from 1 species